AGAGUUUGAUCCUGGCUCAGAUUGAACGCUGGCGGCAUGCCUUACACAUGCAAGUCGAACGGCAGCACGAGAGCUUGCUCUUGGUGGCGAGUGGCGAACGGGUGAGUAAUAUAUCGGAACGUACCCUAGAGUGGGGGAUAACGUAGCGAAAGUUACGCUAAUACCGCAUACGAUCUACGGAUGAAAGUGGGGGAUCGCAAGACCUCAUGCUCAUGGAGCGGCCGAUAUCUGAUUAGCUAGUUGGUGGGGUAAAAGCUCACCAAGGCGACGAUCAGUAGCUGGUCUGAGAGGACGACCAGCCACACUGGUACUGAGACACGGUCCAGACUCCUACGGGAGGCAGCAGUGGGGAAUUUUGGACAAUGGGCGCAAGCCUGAUCCAGCAAUGCCGCGUGAGUGAAGAAGGCCUUCGGGUUGUAAAGCUCUUUUGUCAGGGAAGAAACGGUGGACUCUAAUACAGAUCACUAAUGACGGUACCUGAAGAAUAAGCACCGGCUAACUACGUGCCAGCAGCCGCGGUAAUACGUAGGGUGCAAGCGUUAAUCGGAAUUACUGGGCGUAAAGCGUGCGCAGGCGGUUGUGCAAGACAGAUGUGAAAUCCCCGGGCUCAACCUGGGAAUUGCAUUUGUGACUGCACGGCUAGAGUGUGUCAGAGGGGGGUAGGAUUCCACGUGUAGCAGUGAAAUGCGUAGAGAUGUGGAGGAAUACCGAUGGCGAAGGCAGCCCCCUGGGAUAACACUGACGCUCAUGCACGAAAGCGUGGGGAGCAAACAGGAUUAGAUACCCUGGUAGUCCACGCCCUAAACGAUGUCUACUAGUUGUCGGGUCUUAAUUGACUUGGUAACGCAGCUAACGCGUGAAGUAGACCGCCUGGGGAGUACGGUCGCAAGAUUAAAACUCAAAGGAAUUGACGGGGACCCGCACAAGCGGUGGAUGAUGUGGAUUAAUUCGAUGCAACGCGAAAAACCUUACCUACCCUUGACAUGUCUGGAAUCCUUGAGAGAUCAGGGAGUGCUCGAAAGAGAAUCAGAACACAGGUGCUGCAUGGCUGUCGUCAGCUCGUGUCGUGAGAUGUUGGGUUAAGUCCCGCAACGAGCGCAACCCUUGUCAUUAGUUGCUACGAAAGGGCACUCUAAUGAGACUGCCGGUGACAAACCGGAGGAAGGUGGGGAUGACGUCAAGUCCUCAUGGCCCUUAUGGGUAGGGCUUCACACGUCAUACAAUGGUACAUACAGAGGGCCGCCAACCCGCGAGGGGGAGCUAAUCCCAGAAAGUGUAUCGUAGUCCGGAUUGUAGUCUGCAACUCGACUACAUGAAGUUGGAAUCGCUAGUAAUCGCGGAUCAGCAUGUCGCGGUGAAUACGUUCCCGGGUCUUGUACACACCGCCCGUCACACCAUGGGAGCGGGUUUCACCAGAAGUGGGUAGCCUAACCGCAAGGAGGGCGCUCACCACGGUGGGAUUCGUGACUGGGGUGAAGUCGUAACAAGGUA
rnacentral:rRNA from 1 species